UACGUAGGGUGCAAGCGUUAAUCGGAAUUACUGGGCGUAAAGCGUGCGUAGGCGGUUGCGCAAGACAGGUGUGAAAUCCCCGGGCUUAACCUGGGAAUUGCACUUGUGACUGUGCGGCUGGAGUGCGGCAGAGGGGGAUGGAAUUCCGCGUGUAGCAGUGAAAUGCGUAGAUAUGCGGAGGAACACGAUGGCGAAGGCAGUCCCCUGGGCCUGCACUGACGCUCAGUGCACGAA
rnacentral:rRNA from 1 species